CGCAAUGUAAGAUAAGAAAUGUUAGAUUUGUUGAUGGAUGUACACAGAUAUAUAAUAUACUGGGACUUUCGAUACAGAGUGAAAUGAACUACCAGCUUUCCAAGGAAUCCCGUCGUUCUUCCUUACUAAAAGACUAUUGCAUGCACCUGCAUACGCAGCUAAUUCUUGUAAGUAGUUACAACGUUUCCUUCUUUUAUAUAUAGGCAUUUCAAGAGGCCCUUCUCAUUUUCUUUGAAGGAGUUGCUCUUAUUUAUCUUCAGGCUGCUUUAUCUAAGAAGGAUUCUUCUGCUCUUUAAAGGAGGUUUUUUGAUUUAGGUUGUUAAGAAUAGCAAUGUUAGGGGAAAGUAAUUCAUUGAUGUAGCCGACUUUCUUGAUGAUAGGAAUCUACAUUCGUUCUCAACGUGAAAUCCCGUCUUAUCUGCUUAGCCGCCUAGCGGAGUUGCCUGUGUGAGGCAUCAAAAUAGCCUUCCCAGCGAGUGGAUGAAUGGAGCGAGAAGAACUUAGAAUUGAUUUGUUUUCUACCAUUCCGGAACGUCGAUCUAUAAAUCUUCCAUGCGUGGAUGGAUAAGCCUGAAGGUGCUACUAAGUGGUCUAACUCUAAUCCCUGGUUCGUCAUCCCCUCCCCCUCCCCCAACUCGCUCUCUCCCCUAACCCUAGCCGCCGCCGCCCCCUCCGGUGAGCCCCCCUCUCCUCCCUUCCCCCUCCCCCGCCCGCCGGCGCCGCUCCCCGGUGCGGCGUUCCCCGCCCGCGCCCCGGCCUCGCCGCCUCGAGCUCGCCCGCCCAUGGCGUCCGCCCUCCCCGCGCCGCCCUCCGACGAGCCCGCCCGUGCCCCGCCUCGCCGCGCCCGUCUCCAGCUGUGAACACUGGCUGUGAACACGUUAAAGCUGGCUGUGAAAACUGGCUGUGAACACGUUAAAGCUGGCUGUGAACACGUUUAGGGUUUAGGGUUUAGGGUUUAGGGUUUAGGGUUUAGGGGUUGUAGCGAUUCUGGAGAAAACUGGCUGUGAACACGUUAAAGCUGCUUCCCAGGAAGAAGUCUUCUCCAUAGACGAUACAAAGGAACCUUCAGCCGAAGCUACUCUAAUGGGUGGGAAAUUUUAUUCCGAUGUUUGGAUGAAGGGCGGUCGCGACAUAGCCGAUGAAGCAAUAAAGAAAAAAGAAUCCCAUGAUGCCUGGGUAGAAGCAAAGGAAGCUGAGGAAUCUACCGAACGUGCAUUGAUUAUAGGUACUGUUUAAUGCCCCUUUUGCUUUAUUAUUCUUUUCUAACUUCGAAACCUUAUUAACAUAUAUUUUACUGCAGCUGGCCUUUCACCACCACCAGAGCCAUAUAACCCUAAGGCAGAUCCCAUUAUGAAAGAGGCUUUGGACGUGAUGAAUGUUGCCAAUACAAUCGUCGACGAAGUUGUCGACUGUAACACCCUGAAUUUGGGGGUAGAAUUUUUUUCUUCUUUUCUCUCAUCAAAUUCAGGCGUUACUCUUUCCUUUUUCCUUCUUCUUCUCGUUAAGCCUUGAUCUUUUCCAAAAGUUAUAGCGAGAACUAGCUCGACAUCUUGUGUAAGCAAAACCUAGAAUUAUUUUUGGUUGUUGCAUCAUGCCGAAUUAUGCACUCUUUUGUUUGUGGUUGAGUGAAUUGAAGAGUUAGGCAUAUAAGAAAAUGGGGAAAUUAGAAAAAGAAAAGCCUUUUCUUUUUCUCUCCCCCCAUUCUCUCUUUUGGCCCAGCCGCCCCCUUCCCCUUCGCGCCGGCCCAGUUGGCGGCCCAGCCACCCCCCCUUCCCCCUUCCCGCGUGGGCCCCGCGGCGGCCCAGCCGCCCCCUCCCCCCCGCCGUGGGCCGUUCCGGCCGGCCCACCCCGCGCCCACUCCCCCCUUUCCCCCCCCCUUUGGGCCCAGUCGGCCCAACCGCCCCCCCCCUUUUUCUUUUUCCAAAAUUCCCUCCCCACGGGCCCCGCAAUGUAAGAUAAGAAAUGUUAGAUUUGUUGAUGGAUGUACACAGAUAUAUAAUAUACUGGGACUUUCGAUACAGAGUGAAAUGAACUACCAGCUUUCCAAGGAAUCCCGUCGUUCUUCCUUACUAAAAGACUAUUGCAUGCACCUGCAUACGCAGCUAAUUCUUGUAAGUAGUUACAACGUUUCCUUCUUUUAUAUAUAGGCAUUUCAAGAGGCCCUUCUCAUUUUCUUUGAAGGAGUUGCUCUUAUUUAUCUUCAGGCUGCUUUAUCUAAGAAGGAUUCUUCUGCUCUUUAAAGGAGGUUUUUUGAUUUAGGUUGUUAAGAAUAGCAAUGUUAGGGGAAAGUAAUUCAUUGAUGUAGCCGACUUUCUUGAUGAUAGGAAUCUACAUUCGUUCUCAACGUGAAAUCCCGUCUUAUCUGCUUAGCCGCCUAGCGGAGUUGCCUGUGUGAGGCAUCAAAAUAGCCUUCCCAGCGAGUGGAUGAAUGGAGCGAGAAGAACUUAGAAUUGAUUUGUUUUCUACCAUUCCGGAACGUCGAUCUAUAAAUCUUCCAUGCGUGGAUGGAUAAGCCUGAAGGUGCUACUAAGUGGUCUAACUCUAAUCCCUGGUUCGUCAUCCCCUCCCCCUCCCCCAACUCGCUCUCUC
rnacentral:lncRNA from 1 species